rnacentral:rRNA from 1 species
UACGUAGGGUGCGAGCGUUAAUCGGAAUUACUGGGCGUAAAGCGUGCGCAGGCGGUUUUGUAAGUCAGAUGUGAAAUCCCCGGGCUCAACCUGGGAAUGGCAUUUGGGACUGCAAGGCUGGAGUGCGGCAGAGGAGACUGGAAUUCCUGGUGUAGCAGUGAAAUGCGUAGAUAUCAGGAGGAAUACCGAUGGCGAAGGCAGGUCUCUGGGCUGACACUGACGCUGAGGAGCGAAAGCGUGGGGAGCGAACAGG